UACGUAGGUGGCGAGCGUUAUCCGGAAUUACUGGGCGUAAAGCGCACGCAGGCGGCCGGUCAAGUCUGACGUGAAAGCUCCUGGCUUAACUGGGAGAGGUCGUUGGAAACUGGCGGGCUUGAGGCAAUGAGAGGGGUGUAGAAUUCCUGGUGUAGCGGUGGAAUGCGCAGAGAUCAGGAGGAAUACCGAAGGCGAAGGCAGUCUUCCAAGCCGUUAUUGACGCUCAACUGCGAAGGUGUGGGUAUCAAACAGGAUUAGAUACCCGUGUA
rnacentral:rRNA from 1 species